GCGGUGGAGCAUGUGGUUUAAUUCGACGCAACGCGCAGAACCUUACCAGCCCUUGACAUGUCCAGGACCGGUCGCAGAGACGUGACCUUCUCUUCGGAGCCUGGAACACAGGUGCUGCAUGGCUGUCGUCAGCUCGUGUCGUGAGAUGUUGGGUUAAGUCCCGCAACGAGCGCAACCCCCGUCCUUAGUUGCUACCAUUUAGUUGAGCACUCUAAGGAGACUGCCGGUGAUAAGCCGCGAGGAAGGUGGGGAUGACGUCAAGUCCUCAUGGCCCUUACGGGCUGGGCUACACACGUGCUACAAUGGCGGUGACAGUGGGAUGCGAAGACGCAAGUCCUAGCAAAUCUCAAAAAGCCGUCUCAGUUCGGAUUGGGCUCUGCAACUCGAGCCCAUGAAGUUGGAAUCGCUAGUAAUCGUGGAUCAGCACGCCACGGUGAAUACGUUCCCGGGCCUUGUACACACCGCCCGUCACACCAUGGGAGUUGGCUUUACCUGAAGACGGUGCGCUAACCAGCAAUGGAGGCAGCCGGCCACGGUAGGGUCAGCGACUGGGGUGAAGUCGUAACAAGGUAGCCGUAGGGGAACCUGCGGCUGG
rnacentral:rRNA from 1 species